CGUCCGUCCUUUGCCAGUGGAGAAGUGCCCUGGGGGGCGAGCCAAACCACUUCUUUACAACGACUUCAAGCUGUUGAAUAGGUAAUUUCCAUCAAAUCUAUGUAGAAAGUAAAGGUACUUAUGUAAUUUCUCAAUCAGCUGAGAUGGUGCAAACAAUUGAGGGAUAUCGCAUAGCAGCUUGAGGCCGUGUGUUGUACCAUAACUGCAAUGUAAUGAGGUGCUGAGGAAGGGCAGAUGGAUCUUGAGGCAGCCUCUGUUGUAAGGUCUUGGUGUUUGAGGCAGAAGAAUCUUAGGUUUUAUUUCAUCUCCACGGCGUAAGACAUCAUAGCUGAUGAAUUUUUUAUCUGCUGCUUGAACUAGAAUGGAGCACAUCAGUAGCACUCCUACGAAGAUCCUUGCAAUUUUGGGCAUAGCCAUUGGAAAUUUCAGUUACUGUGUUUUGCUUUGAUUUUAUUGAACACGCUCUUGCAAUCAGCUCCAGAUAUAUAACGAUGCAGCUACGCGGUUGAGAGAGUAAUGUAUUUAAUGGUAUGAUAUUACUGGCCAUCUGAGGUAUAAAUAUUUAAUUCUAGAGCC